AGUUUGAUUCUGGCUCAGGAUGAACGCACAAGACGUGCCUAACACAUGCAAAUCGAAUGAAAACAAUUUAAUUAAAUUGUUUUCAUGGUGAACGGGUGAGUAACACAUAAGAAUCAGCUUUUAGAUAAGGCAUAAAAGAGUAAUAUCUUGGUAAUUCCCUAUAUGCGCAGCAGUGCUUAAAAAGGGGACUCCCGUCUAAAAACGAGCUUAUGCCUGAUUAGCUAGUUGGCGAGUUAAAAGCUCACCAAGGCGAAGAUCAGUAGCUGGCCUGAGAGGGCGGCCAGCCACAUUGGGACUGAGACACGGCCCAAGCUCCUACGGGAGGCAGCAGUGGGGAAUCUUCUGCAAUGGGCGCAAGCCUGACAGAGCGGCGUCAUGUGAAGGAAGAAGGCCUGAAAUAGGUUGUAAACUUCUUUUACUGAGUAAUGAAUACUGACAACGCAGUAAAAAAGUAUCGGCUAACUCCGUGCCAGCAGCCGCGGUAAUACGGGGGAUGCAAGCGUUAUCCGGAAUCACUGGGCGUAAAGCGUCUGUAGGUGGUUUAGUGUGUUCUUAGUUAAAUUAUGAAGCCUAACUUCAUGAAAAGUAAGAAAACUAUUAGACUUGAGUACGAUAGGGGUAAGAGGAAUUCUUCGAGAAGUAGUGAAAUGCGAAGAUACGAAGGAGAAGAUCAUAAGCGAAGGCUUCUUACUGGGUCGUAACUGACACUGAGAGACGAAAGCUAGGGGAGCGAAUGGGAUUAGAUACCCCAGUAGUCCUAGCUGUAAACGAUGGAUAUUCGGUGCCGGAUUUUAUUAGAACAUUUCGGUACCCUAGCUAACGCGUUAAAUAUCCCGCCUGAGGAGUACGCUCGCAAGGGUGAAACUCAAAGGAAUUGACGGGGGCUCGCACAAGCGGUGGAGCAUGUGGUUUAAUUCGAUGCAAAGCGAAGAACCUUACCAGGGCUUGACAGUAUGUAUAAAAGUCUUAACGGACU
rnacentral:rRNA from 1 species